UGAAAAAUCUGACCUCAAGAAUUACCUCUGCAACCAUUUGAAGUUGGUAUUCCAAACAGGCCUUGGAUGGGAGGAUUACAUCACAGACCUGAUUUGUGCACAUUUGUAUUACCUUAUGAAACCCAAAGAAGAAAAUAUCAUUUAGAAAAGGAAUCACUGGAUGUGGGAAGAAAGGAGGAGGAAAGCAGCAGUAAUGGAGUGCUUGUGCCACAACACCUCCCAGAUGUUCGGGGUGCAUCUUACCAGCUGAGGACGGUCCUAGAAACAGGAGUGCAGCUGAAUCAGGUGAUGGCUGUGUUUAGUGGGAUGUUUGGGGUCUGUGUGAGUUAUAACUCACCCAGUAGAGGUCAGUCUGCCCGGUGUAAUCAGAUCCAUUUAGAGGAUGGUGGCCUCUUCCUUAAACCUCAGAUACUUCUGUAGGGCUUCACUGGCCUCAUUAUAUGAACCUGCUCAGGGUUCCUU
rnacentral:lncRNA from 1 species